rnacentral:rRNA from 1 species
UUAGUAGGCGGCGGAAGAUAACCCAAAAGGGAUUCCUUCAGUAAUGGCGAAUGAACGGGGAAAAGCUCAGCAAAGAAAUCAGGGACCCCGUCCUUGAGUUGUGGACUUGAGAGGUAUUGCCAAUGGUGGCGCAGGUGCGGGCCUCUUGGAAAAGGGCACCACAGAGGGUGUGAGUCCUGUUUGUCAUCUGUAGUCCGCCAUGUACGGCAUGCCUCCUCAGAGUCACGUUCCUUGGAAUUGGAGCGCGAAGGUGGUGGUGGCUUUCAUCUCAAGCUAAAUAUGGGUUCGAGACCGAUAGCAAACAAGUACCAUGAGGGAAAAUUGAAAAGAGCUUUGGAAAGAGAGUUAAAAGUGCCCGAACUUGCUGAUAGGGAAGCGAAGGGAGCUGACGUUGCUUGGUGACAUUUUCCGUGCAAGAGUAGGAUGGGUUCUGAUUGCAAUGUGCGUAGUGCUUCUUGCCGUGCGUGUCGAUGCCGAGCAACGAGUGGGGAGAGCACCAGGGAUAUGAUUGUUCUGUCCCCGGGUGGACGAAGGUGCCUGGUCGCAUCCAUUUGUGGGCUGAAACAAGUGGUGGCUGGUUGCAGCGCUCCAUAACUGCCAGGCAGUUGGGGUGCAGCCCUGAUACGCAGACGAGGACAAAGUGCUUCUGUUCGACCCGUCUUGAAACACGGACCAAGGAGUCUGACACUCAUGCAAGCUCGCGGGUGGGUAAACUUGUUCGCGUAAUUAAGGUGUCUGUUGUGAUUUUUGCACCAACGCCCGACCAAUCAAUUGAGAGAGGUUUGAGUGUGAGCAUUUCUGUCAGGACCCGAAAGAUGGUGAACUAUGCUUGAGAAGGGUAAGUUCAGGGGAAACU